ACAGAGGCCUCAAGCGUUGUUCGGAAUCACUGGGCGUAAAGGGUGCGUAGGCGGCGCGGAAAGUCAGGGGUGAAAUCCCGGAGCUCAACUCCGGAACUGCCUUUGAUACUCCCGCGCUUGAGAACUGGAGGGGACAUCGGAAUUCACGGUGGAGCAGUGAAAUGCGUGGAUAUCGUGAGGAACACUAGUGGCGAAGGCGGAUGUCUGGACAGUAUCUGACGCUGAGGCACGAAGGCCAGGGGAGCGAACGGGAUUAGAUACCCCGGUAGUCCUGGCAGUAAACGGUGCACGCUUGGUAUGGGGGGAAUCGACCCCUCCCGUGCCGGAGCUAACGCGUUAAGCGUGCCGCCUGGGAAGUACGGUCGCAAGAUUA
rnacentral:rRNA from 1 species